rnacentral:tRNA from 1 species
UCAAAAGAAGAUCAAGAUCUAUUGCUGGAUUCCGAAGCCAGUGUUUUUAUAAACUAUCUUUUG